GCCCUUGUAGCUCAGUGGUAGAGCGCAGCACUUGUAGGUCAUUCUCCUCCUAUGCUGAGGUCUCAGGUUCAAACCCUGGCGGGGGCA